AGCGAACGUUAGCGGCGGGCCUAACACAUGCAAGUCGAACGCGAAAGGUCUUCGGACUGAGUAGAGUGGCGCACGGGUGAGUAACACGUAGGUAAUCUACCCUUUGGCGGGGGAUAACGUUCCGAAAGGAGCGCUAAUACCGCAUAAGACCACGGAGUCUCCGGACGCUGUGGGAAAAGGUGGCCUCUUCUUGAAAGCUACCACCGAAGGAUGAGCCUGCGUCCCAUCAGCUAGUUGGUAAGGUAAUGGCUUACCGAGGCGAAGACGGGUAGCUGGUUUGAGAGAAUGAUCAGCCACACUGGCACUGGAACACGGGCCAGACUCCUACGGGAGGCAGCAGUGAGGAAUAUUGGGCAAUGGGCGAAAGCCUGACCCAGCCACGCCGCGUGAGUGAUGAAGGCCCUCGGGUCGUAAAGCUCUGUGGAGAGGGACGAAAACCCUGGUUUCAAAUAGGCUCCAGGCUUGACGGUACCUCUUUAGCAAGCACCGGCUAACUCUGUGCCAGCACG
rnacentral:rRNA from 1 species